rnacentral:rRNA from 1 species
CCUACGGGUGGCUGCAGUGGGGGAUAUUGCACAAUGGGGGGAACCCUGAUGCAGCGACGCCGCGUGGGUGAAGAAGCGCCUCGGCGCGUAAAGCUCUGUCAGCAGGGAAGAAAAUGACGGUACCUGAAGAAGAAGCCCCGGCUAACUACGUGCCAGCAGCCGCGGUAAUACGUAGGGGGCAAGCGUUAUCCGGAUUUACUGGGUGUAAAGGGGGCGUAGACGGCGGUGCAAUCCUGGAGUGAAAUGCCGGGGCUUAACCCCGGAACUGCUUUUGAAACUGUGCGGCUAGAGUGCAGGAGAGGCAAGUGGAAUUCCUGGUGUAGCGGUGAAAUGCGUAGAUAUUAGGAGGAACACCAGUGGCGAAGGCGGCCUACUGGACUGCAACUGACGUUGAGGCCCGAAAGCGUGGGGAGCAAACAGGAUUAGAUACCCGAGUAGUC